rnacentral:rRNA from 1 species
GACGAACGCUGGCGGCGUGCUUAACACAUGCAAGUCGAACGGAAAGGCCCUUCGGGGUACUCGAGUGGCGAACGGGUGAGUAACACGUGGGUGAUCUGCCCUGCACUUUGGGAUAAGCCUGGGAAACUGGGUCUAAUACCGGAUAGGACCACGGCAUUCAUGUGCUGUGGUGGAAAGCUUUUGCGGUGUGGGAUGGGCCCGCGGCCUAUCAGCUUGUUGGUGGGGUAAUGGCCUACCAAGGCGACGACGGGUAGCCGGCCUGAGAGGGUGACCGGCCACACUGGGACUGAGAUACGGCCCAGACUCCUACGGGAGGCAGCAGUGGGGAAUAUUGCACAAUGGGCGCAAGCCUGAUGCAGCGACGCCGCGUGAGGGAUGACGGCCUUCGGGCUGUAAACCUCUUUCGCCAGGGACGAAGCGCAAGUGACGGUACCUGGAGAAGAAGGACCGGCCAACUACGUG